CGUAGGGUGCGAGCGUUAAUCGGAAUUACUGGGCGUAAAGCGUGCGCAGGCGGUUUUGUAAGACAGGCGUGAAAUCCCCGGGCUUAACCUGGGAACUGCGUUUGUGUCUGCAAGGCUAGAGUACGGCAGAGGGGGUGGAAUUCCACGUGUAGCAGUGAAAUGCGUAGAGAUGUGGAGGAACACCAAUGGCGAAGGCAGCCCCCUGGGUCGAUACUGACGCUCAUGCACGAAAGCGUGGGUAGCAAACAGGAUUAGAUACCCUGGUAGUCCACGCCCUAAACGAUGUCAACUAGGUGUUGGGUGGGUAAAACCAUUUAGUACCGUAGCUAACGCGAGAAGUUGACCGCCUGGGGAGUACGGCCGCAAGGUUA
rnacentral:rRNA from 1 species